UACGUAGGGUGCAAGCGUUAAUCGGAAUUACUGGGCGUAAAGCGUGCGCAGGCGGUUUUGUAAGCCAGAUGUGAAAGCCCCGGGCUUAACCUGGGAAUGGCAUUUGGGACUGCAAGGCUUGAGUGCGGCAGAGGAGACUGGAAUUCCUGGUGUAGCAGUGAAAUGCGUAGAUAUCAGGAGGAAUACCGAUGGCGAAGGCAGGUCUCUGGGCUGACAAUGACGCUCAUGCACGAAAGCGUGGGGAGCAAACAGG
rnacentral:rRNA from 1 species